AGGAAUAGACCCAGGCAGCUACUUGUUGAUCUUACUACCCAGUAUCUAUCUUUAAUUUUGAUGGCAGAAGUAUUAACCCAUGAGUUCUUGUACUACCAGUGUUAGCAAACUGGCUGCAGCGAGAAGAAUUAGAUGCUUUGACCUCUUUCACAUCUUCUACUGACAACUCUCUAUGCUAUCUUUUUACCUCAAAAAUGGGGCAGGUCUGUGGAGGAAGUGUCCUCAGUCUCCUCUCCAUAGAGAAGAUGGAGACGAGCAAUGGCAAAGAGAGGAAGACUUUUCACUGGAGC